CAGUAGCCGCGGGAAUACAGAGGGUGCGAGCGUUAAUCGGAUUUACUGGGCGUAAAGCGUGCGUAGGCGGCUUCUUAAGUCGGAUGUGAAAUCCCUGAGCUUAACUUAGGAAUUGCAUUCGAUACUGGGAAGCUAGAGUAUGGGAGAGGAUGGUAGAAUUCCAGGUGUAGCGGUGAAAUGCGUAGAGAUCUGGAGGAAUACUGAUGGCGAAGGCAGCCAUCUGGCCUAAUACUGACGCUGAGGUACGAAAGCAUGGGGAGCAAACAGGAUUAGAGACCCCCGUAGUCCCUGUCUCUUAUAC
rnacentral:rRNA from 1 species